rnacentral:lncRNA from 1 species
CUCUAAAUAUGUUAUCAUACAUAGUUUAUAUAUCCUAAGAUUUCUACACAAACCCUAAUAAACCCCAACUGAAAAACUCUCCUGGCUGAACCCAAUACAUGAAAACACUCACCGAGCCCAUGCCUCAUAUGCUCUCAUCCCUUUGAUUUAUUUUCAGUCCAAAUCUUUGAGUUAGCCAUCCUUGAAACUCAUAAAUCUGAGCCCCAAGCCCUA